rnacentral:rRNA from 1 species
GAUGAACGCUGGCGGCGUGCCUAAUACAUGCAAGUCGAGCGAACGGACGAGAAGCUUGCUUCUCUGAUGUUAGCGGCGGACGGGUGAGUAACACGUGGAUAACCUACCUAUAAGACUGGGAUAACUUCGGGAAACCGGAGCUAAUACCGGAUGAUAUUUUGAACCGCAUGGUUCAAAAGUGAAAGACGGUCUUGCUGUCACUUAUAGAUGGAUCCGCGCUGCAUUAGCUAGUUGGUAAGGUAACGGCUUACCAAGGCAACGAUGCAUAGCCGACCUGAGAGGGCGAUCGGCCACACUGGAACUGAGACACGGUCCAGACUCCUACGGGAGGCAGCAGUAGGGAAUCUUCCGCAAUGGGCGAAAGCCUGACGGAGCAACGCCGCGUGAGUGAUGAAGGUCUUCGGAUCGUAAAACUCUGUUAUUAGGGAAGAACAUAUGUGUAAGUAACUGUGCACUUCUUGACGGUACCUAAUCAGAAAGCCACGGCUAACUACGUG